rnacentral:rRNA from 1 species
AGCAGCCGCGGUAAUUCCAGCUCCAAUAGCGUAUACUAAAGUUGUUGCAGUUAAAAAGCUCGUAGUUGAAUUUCGGGAUCAAGGAAUCGGUCAUGCCUUGGUAUGUACUGGUUUUAUUGGUUCUCACCUUCUAAAGAAUCAUAAUGUCAUUUAUUUGAUGUUAUGGGGAAUUAGGACUGUUACCUUGAAAAAAUUAGAGUGUUUAAAGCAGGCUCACGCUUGAAUACAUUAGCAUGGAAUAAUGAAAUAGGACGUUUGAUUCUAUUUUGUUGGUUUCUAGGAUCGACGUAAUGAUUAAUAGGGAUAGUUGGGGGCAUUAGUAUUCAAUUGUCAGAGGUGAAAUUCUUGGAUUUAUUGAAGACUAACUACUGCGAAAGCAUUUGCCAAGGAUGUUUUCAUUAAUCAAGAACGAAAGUUAGGGGAUCGAAGACGAUCAGAUACCGUCGUAGUCUUAACCAUAAACUAUGCCGACUAGGGAUCGGAUGAUGUUAAUUUUUAAUGUACUCAUUCGGCGCCUUAA